UACGUAGGGACCAAGCGUUGUUCGGAUUUACUGGGCGUAAAGCGCACGUAGGCGGCUUUUUAAGUCAGGGGUGAAAUCCUGGAGCUCAACUCCAGAACUGCCUUUGAUACUGGGAAGCUUGAGUCCGGGAGAGGUGAGUGGAACUCCGAGUGUAGAGGUGAAAUUCGUAGAUAUUCGGAAGAACACCAGUGGCGAAGGCGGCUCACUGGCCCGGUACUGACGCUGAGGUGCGAAAGCGUGGGGAGCAAACAGG
rnacentral:rRNA from 1 species